AUCUGGAGCCAUACUAUUUAUGGCUGUAAUCUCAUUAGAUUUCACAAGAUAAGUAGGGUUGGGCCUACAGUAGUUGAAUGGAACACCUCCAAGGAAAUUCCGAGUUAUUGUAU
rnacentral:rRNA from 1 species